CAUGCAAGUCGAACGGUAGCAGGAGAAAGCUUGCUUUCUUGCUGACGAGUGGCGGACGGGUGAGUAAUGCUUGGGAAUCUGGCUUAUGGAGGGGGAUAACGACGGGAAACUGUCGCUAAUACCGCGUAGUGUCGAGAGACGAAAGGGUGGGACUUUUAGCCACCUGCCAUAGGAUGAGCCCAAGUGGGAUUAGGUAGUUGGUGGGGUAAAGGCCUACCAAGCCUGCGAUCUCUAGCUGGUCUGAGAGGAUGACCAGCCACACUGGAACUGAGACACGGUCCAGACUCCUACGGGAGGCAGCAGUGGGGAAUAUUGCGCAAUGGGGGGAACCCUGACGCAGCCAUGCCGCGUGAAUGAAGAAGGCCUUCGGGUUGUAAAGUUCUUUCGGUAUUGAGGAAGGUUGAUGUGUUAAUAGCACAUCAAAUUGACGUUAAAUACAGAAGAAGCACCGGCUAACUCCGUGCCAGCAGCCGCGGUAAUACGGAGGGUGCGAGCGUUAAUCGGAAUAACUGGGCGUAAAGGGCACGCAGGCGGUUAUUUAAGUGAGGUGUGAAAGCCCCGGGCUUAACCUGGGAAUUGCAUUUCAGACUGGGUAACUAGAGUACUUUAGGGAGGGGUAGAAUUCCACGUGUAGCGGUGAAAUGCGUAGAGAUGUGGAGGAAUACCGAAGGCGAAGGCAGCCCCUUGGGAAUGUACUGACGCUCAUGUGCGAAAGCGUGGGGAGCAAACAGGAUUAGAUACCCUGGUAGUCCACGCUGUAAACGCUGUCGAUUUGGGGGUUGGGGUUUAACUCUGGCGCCCGUAGCUAACGUGAUAAAUCGAC
rnacentral:rRNA from 1 species